ACGAUCUGAAUCAAUUCGGCAUGGACUGUCACGUGUAAGACGAGCUCACUCCCACGGUUUCGUUACUAGGAUACAAAGAGAUCAGUAGUGUUGCGACUUAAACCCGACGAGCGUGUGUGGUUUAGAGAACUUAAGCCUAACAUAAAAUCGUUAGUCGCAGAUUGUAUUGUAUCUGGUCGUUAGUGCUCGUCUAAACAUGCGUGUCACUAAUAACUAAUAAGCCGUGUUGUGGAAACUGAUCGUCGAGAUAGAAAGAUCAGAUCAAUCAGAGCGUUCACUACUGUUUACUACUGAUACAGAGCUAGAAAGUCUUAAUGACUGACUAAUUAGUUAUCUUUGUAUUUACUUGAUGAGUUAUGUUAUAAUCGUAUUAAUUUUAGCAAAAACCUUUGAUGGCAUCUCUUUAGUUACGAAUUUAACAAACGAUCAAGACCAGGUUUCUACACGCCGCCUAUUAUUUUCUGUAUCUCUCACCGCCCCCUACACCCUUUAUGCCUUGUCCUCCCCAUCAGGCAGCGCCGGUUCAAGACAUAAUUUUGUUCUAAGAAAUCAUUAAUUAGAAUUUUUUAUUAUUUCUUCUUCAUGUUUCUUUAUUAUUUUAUUAUGAUAUUUUAUUUUACUAUCUGUUAAUGAAGCGAGUGAUCUUUAAUUAACUGUAUAGUUUUUCCUCUUAGAUAUUACACUUUUUUAUAUAAAUAAACAAAAAAUAAAAGUACAUUUUGAAACAUU